rnacentral:rRNA from 1 species
GAUGAACGCUGGCGGCGUGCCUAAUACAUGCAAGUCGAGCGAACGGACGAGAAGCUUGCUUCUCUGAUGUUAGCGGCGGACGGGUGAGUAACACGUGGAUAACCUACCUAUAAGACUGGGAUAACUUCGGGAAACCGGAGCUAAUACCGGAUAAUAUUUUGAACCGCAUGGUUCAAAAGUGAAAGACGGUCUUGCUGUCACUUAUAGAUGGAUCCGCGCUGCAUUAGCUAGUUGGUAAGGUAACGGCUUACCAAGGCAACGAUGCAUAGCCGACCUGAGAGGGGGAUCGGCACAACGGGAACUGAGAAACGGUCCAGACUCCGACGGAGGGAAGCAGGGGGGAAUCUUCCGCAAGGGGGGAAACCCUGACGAAGCAACGCGGGGGGAGUGAUAAAGGUCUUCGGAUCGUAAAACUCUGUUAUUGGGGAAAAACAGAUGUGUAAGUAACAGUGCACAUCUUGACGGUACCUAAUCAGAAAGCCACGGCUAACUACGU